CAUUUUGUAAUAAAAUCUACAAGUAAUAAAAAAUCUCAUAUUUAAAAAAAUCUGGAAAUUCUCUUCAUGUUGCUCUUAAAACUAUUGAUUCAUUUUUGAAAUUAUCGGAGGAAUUAAAUGUUAAGGUCGUUUUAUA